AUAUCAGUUCAUAAAAAUGCUUUAGCAUUUACAAUCAGAAUGGCUCAAAUAUCCAAGUUACGUAGCUCCCACUGAACUUUUGGGGGAGUCCUUAUUUUAGAAACAUGUAGUUUCCUCAAUCAGAUAAGAAACUAACAGCUUCCAUUCUACAGGUGACUACUCGCCUUCAGUUUAGGCAUUUUUGUGGUGAGGCAUUAAUCACUUCCUUGCACCAGAGCACAUAUAAGAGGCAGCCACGAGGCAGAUUAGCCAGCCCAAAGAGGGGAGCACAACCCCUUUGCCACAAUGCUAUGCCUGCUCGGGGUUAUGUUGUCAGUGCUGUGCCUGGUGUCCCCUGCAUCAUGCGCCACAGGCACAGCUUGCCCUGCCAACGCUCUCUUCAAGGAAACCAUCGAAGUCCUUCAGAACCUAAGCUCUAAGGGCAGCAGCAAAAUUGAGCCUCUGAACAACACGAUGGAGGCGGGAGGGAAUGCAGCCAUCUAUCUGGAAGGAUUUAUUGAAGCCCUAAAUAACAGCAAAGAGAGUGUGGAACAGAAACGCAUAGUUCUGAACUUGCAGAAAAUCCAGUCUUAUGGAGAGUCAUGCACUGGGUGGACGUCUGCCCUCAAGGAACAUCACUGGAAGGCAGUGGAAGAGUAUGAUUUUUUCAAUAAUUUGGAAUAUUUAUUAAGGUUCCUGGGUCACAAUGCCCUUCCAGAGGAAAGAAACUAAGCUUCAAAGGAGUUUGGUUUACCUGUCUAGAUUGCCAGAAGACCUGAGCCUAGCAUAUCCUCCUCCAAGCAACGCUAUUGGGAGCUGUUAUUUAUUCGGAUCUCUAUUAUUACUUAUUUAUUCUAUUUAUUUAGAGAAACUUCAAAUUAUUUAUUUUUACAAUGAAGAAAUGCAAUAGUUAUUUGCUUUAGAAGACUGCUGUGUAAUGGUGUGUGAAGAGCUGCUCUGGGGAUCCAGUUUGGGGGUUGUUAUUACACUAUUUCUCUUACAUGCUAUUCCAAGCCACAGUCCCAGGGCUCAGCUUUGCAUCACCCAAGUGGUCUCAGAGGCAGGACAGAGCCAGCCUGUGGGACAGAGGAAUCCAUGUCACUCAGCACCUCCACCUCCCCUCUAGGAGGCUGAGGCACUUGCAGGGGACAAUCUUAUAAAAGGAUGCACUUCUUCAAAUUAUACCUAAAUACUUCUCUUAACUGAAGAUUCUUAUUAUGCCACAAAUGCAGUGACAAUCACUUUAAAAUGUUAAAAUGUGCAGUACAAAUUGUGUAAGCAUGACUGUUCUCAUUACAGCUGUGUGCUGCUGGCACAGGACUUGUACACUUUUUAUGGUUAAGUAUUUGGGAAACUUGUAUGCAGAAUGCUAUGAAAUGUACCCAAACUCUUAACAGAAUCUGUGCAAAAUAAAUUUUCUGCACAAAGAUAGAACUGGCAGUUCUUCUUUUGUGGCACAUGUAACACAAGCACACAGACAAUUUAUAUAUAAAAGUAUAUUGAAUUAUAUAUUAUAUAUAUAACAUACAUAAUAUGAGAUAUAUGUUUUAGAUAUAAAAUAUCUAGAUUGCAUAAUAUUUGAUAUAUUAUCUAUAGAAUAAAUUUUCUAAUAUAAACAUAAAUAUAUAUUUAUGGUGAUGUAAGCAACAUUCUAUCUAAAGAUAAUUUAGAUUGAUUGAAUCAAUGUCUCCUACCAG
rnacentral:lncRNA from 13 species